GCUCCGCCCCAGCAAACCUGGCCACUCGAGGCGCGUGAGGGUUUCUGAGCGCGUCCAGGCUCCUGCCCGCCCUCCCCCCGGCUUUGGUCACCCGCGGGACUGGGCACGCACAGACACACAGCGAGCUGACCACAGACCCGGCCCACGGGCCCCCGGGAUCGUCCCGCCCAGCGGAGCUCCUGGGCCGCCUGGGAGCCUAGGAGUGUCUUCUCAGAGAGAAAGCAGCAGGCGGCUUGCAUUUGCACGUCUCCAGUUUGGCGCGGGUUCCCUCGGCCUGCCCUCCGCACAGGACACUCAGGUGCCUCCGCCCUCCUGGGGGCAGGGGCGGCCUCUCUGCUGAGUUGUGAUUGUCAAGCUCCGAGAACUUUCAGAGCUCAGUCCGCCCAGCGUUCUUGUUUAUCAAUUGUGGAAACGGAGACCCAGAGAGGCUCCGCAGCUCGCCGGGACUCACACGCCUGCUGGGGACAAGUGUGGACUAGGAUACCUGGGACCGAAGUCUUGGCUUCCAGCUCCCUCUUGUCUCCCACCUACCUUUCCAGGAAGAGGCCCACGAAGGUUAAGACCCCAGGGCCCAUGUGCACCGUACUGCAGCCCUGUUCUGUCCACCAUUUCUGGGAUCGGCGCCCCACAGAGGAAGAGCAUCUGCCCAGACUGGCCCUUUGCACCCCCGCUCAAGCCUUGCACCCACGCCCAAGUCCUAGCCCCACUGAACGCUAUGCCUGGUCAGCAGUGCGUGUCCAGGGGUGCUGGUAGUGUGUGUAUUUUCCCUACACCCAACCUGUCUCUGCCUUUCCCCAGGCCCUCAGAGCAACCAGGCCAGGGCGAGAAGCUUGGGAGAUAGAAACCCAGAGGACGCACUGUGAGGCCAUCUGAAGAUCCUGCGUCCCCUGUCCCACCCUUUUUGUCAUCCAGGGUCCAUGACUGUGCCAGAAGCACGUCCCUGAGGCCCAUGGUGGUGGGAGGAGGGCGUGGGAUUGGGAUCUGGCCACCUGGCCGUGCUGCACACCAAUUGUGUAUUCAUGAUCAUCUGCUCUAAACACGUAUCUUUAACACUGGAAAGGAAUGACCGUCUGGUGGGGUUGCCAUGGAGAGUACGUGAGAAAUUAAACCUCACAGGUGCUCAGCAAAAGUUAAUUCCCUCUUCUUUGAAGGCUUAAAGCGCUAAUCCCCUGGAGGGUCCAGUGAAAAUACACAACACCUGGCCACAGGUUCCAUUGUUAUCUGGACUCCUCUGUCUGACCAGUGGACAGCCCUGGACCUGGCUUCUCAGACCUGAAAUCAGAACCACGUAGAGGGCACCAUAGAGCUUAGGCUGCUGCCCCUCACCGCUGCCACCCUGGCGCAGGAUCUGGGGUGGGGCCUGAGGAUUUGCAUUUUAACGUGUUUCCAAGUGACCCUGAAGCUGCGGGCACUGGGACCACACUUAGAGAACCCCUGGUUCAGGCUCUGGAGCCUGGGCCAGCCUCCCUGUGUAGCAGAGGAUCAGACCCCAGCUUGGAGGAUAACUGUCAGGGUGGCUCCAUUCAUCAGGCAUCUGCUGUGUCCCCGCAUGCCCAGAUCCCUGCCACAGCACAACCUCCCUGGAGGAAUGACAUCCAGUGCUCAAGGGGAAAUAAGUUAGAGGUAGUUUAUGUCUGUCUUUUCGUUCUGGCGAACAUGGUUUUAGGAGGAUUUUACUGUACUGUGGUAUGCUCUCUCUUUUGCCAAUAUUAAAAAUAAGAAAGAC
ensembl:lncRNA